rnacentral:misc_RNA from 1 species
GUGAGGCCUCCCCAAUAAGGUCUUGUUAUUUUCUUUUGUGUAUCUUAGAAGUUGGAAAUGUAAUUCUUAUUUCUUAGUACAUGCUCAUGUUACUGCCGGUGAGUUUCUUCCUGCAGUAGGUACCUGGGUUUGAUUUCAUCUACUAGGGUAGUUGUUUACAUAAACGGAUUCUUUCUUCUGUAUAAUCUUUAUUCCUUGUGUCUUGUUAACUAUGGGCAAUAAGCACUUGCAUCAGAUGGUCUGGC